CAGGGUUAUCUAAAACCUGCCUCCUGCCUUCUUCUGCACUCCUCUGGGCAACCAACAUCAGCAGAUCUCUGACAUUUUGCCAGACUUUUUUCCUACAUUACUUGGAGAAUUGGAGGCUCCAUCCAAACUAUAGCUGAAAACUGAAUUCAUAGUGAGUAAAUUCAGGAGCUGAUUGCUGCUGGGCAGUGUCAGGAGUUUGCUCCUCCAAGGCAAUCAGUAGAUCCAGCUCACAAGGAAGACUCGCAGGGGCUGCCCAGCCAGGCUAGAUAAGCUGGGGGCUGGAGGACAGAACACAGCCAUCCUGUGUGCAAUACAUUUCCAGUUAAGCAAAAAAUCCCAAAGCAGUGUCAGCCCUUCCACGCUUUGAUUUCUUCUUUCCUGACUGCUGGCCCAGAAGUACCAGAUGCUGUGUAGGAUUGCGGAGGAUGCCCAUUUGUGUGUGGGGCGGAAGCUGCAAAGGACAGAGAUACACAACUGUCCCUGGAGACAGGCAAAUGAGAGCUGUGGAUGCACAUGGUUAGCUAUGAGGAAAUCUGAAAUUGCUCAAAUCCUGGUGUGGCUACUAGCAUCACCACACAGCUCAAGAGUGUCAGAGAGACAGGGAUGCUAGCAGAGGCUUUGAAACACUUCAGAGCUAGCAUUAGAUUCCUGUGGUGAACACUGUAAGUAAUGUGGAUUUGCAUCGGUAAAGAAGUACAUUAUGAUAUUCUUUCUCUCUGUGCAAUUACUUUAAUGUUUAGUUUUGAAAUAAAGAGGAAUGCAGACUUUCUUCUGUACAUGGGGAGGAAAAAAAAGCAGUAUACUAUUUCUGUGCAAAAAAAAAAGUUUAAAGGAGGCAGUAGGGUUUCACUGAGGCAACAGGAAAACUUCAAAAGCAGUAGCAUGUUUAUAUGGCUGUUCAGAGUUGCAGAUGACUAAACUGUGUUUUAGCUUAGAAAUCUGUCUCUAUCAGCUGAAAUAUUUUAAAUUUUACACUCUUUGUGCACCUCUUCAAAUAUAGCUCUUUUGUUAAGCAGGAAGGGUCUUUAACUGUGUAGAACAUUCCCUUAACAAGUCCUGAUGCCAAAGAGAUUUAAAAACUUAUAGCUAAAUGAAAUAAUGGAAAAGGCAAGAAUCAGUGUGCUGGGAAAUAAGGCAGUGAGUCAUGGUAAAAAAGGGAUCUUUAGGAGUCCUCAGUUAACAAUAGUAUUGCAGGUCUAUGUAGGGAAAUACAUCUAGUGACUUAAUGGGAAAAAUUGAUAGGAUUAGGAGAGUGCUGAGAAGCAGAUGAUUAGAGUCAUCUGUUUAAGAACAAAAUGACAUUAAAAGUAGAAGGUCAUAGGAUUUAAAGAUUAGGAAUAUUAAGUCUGGAAAAAUAGCGAACUCAGAAGUCAAAGCUGCUAGGCAGUCUCUUCUGCCACGUUAUCAGUUACUGGAGCAGGGAAAAUAAUAGUGGGAUGUGAUUGGCAUAGCUAUGUAGUUUGAGUUAUGUACAGAGAUGUGUUUGUUCUACUUGUAAAACCACUGAAGUAUCUUUGUAUUAGAUUUUUAUUUUUAAAGGCCCUUAAUAGCUAUCCAAAGAAGGCAAAGGCUGUUAAUCUUUUCCUCAAUGCCCAUCCUGAUAGGUGUUAUCAGAGACAGACAAGAGAGGAAAACAGAAUUUGCUGCCAACAGACUGUAUUAGAAUUGCUGGAUAAUGCCAUGGUAUUUACCUGAAACAUGUUAUCAUUUAAGCAGUGACAGCAGAACAAUUAAGUGCUAAUCUAAGGUAGAUGUUGUUUCUGAUUACAGUGGUUCCAUACAGCUAACGUGGCCACACUGUCAGCUGGGUCUGUGUAGCCUUGGCACAAGGAGGGAGGUGGAGGUGGGAACAGAUUAGUUUUAGCCUCCCAAGCAACCUUUGGGUCCCAGUUUCUAUUAACAUAUGAGCUUCCCCCAUCAUGAUAUUGUGUCUUUAACCCAACCUUAUGGCAUGGCCAGACCAAGAAAGGGUGACUGCUAAUUGCUACAUCAGCAGAUCUCACUUCAAGUGCUGGGCCACGUUAUUCUUCUGUUGCUUUGAGCUACUAGAAUGGGAAAUAGCAUCUGAAGAGGCCCUUCCUAAGGUAUGUGAUGUAACACUUCAGACAAGAUGCUGAUCUCUGCUUCUGCCAGGCAGGCAAUAAAUCAUCCUUAAAUCAGCCACUAUCAAGUGCAGUUCCCUUCAUAGCUGCUUCACAUGACCCCUGAGCCAGUCAGAGGUGCCAUCGGAGCAUGAACUUCUUUCCCUGUUGUUGCCUUGUGCUCCACUGAAGUCAACAGGAAAAAAAUUCUGCUUCUUGAUGGUCCUUUCAGUUGCUCCUCUUCUCUGGUAUCUGAGCAUUUUGCAGGAAAAAAUGCAAGCACUGAGGUAGAUAAAGAAUGAAUAAGUUCUUUUUCAAACACAAAGCUAUCUCAGCAAUAUGCUCUCCUUAUAGCCACUGCCUUUUUCCAUCCUUAAAGUUGCAAAUCUUAAGAGUGUCAUUCCAAAAUCAGCUGGCAUUGGUGAAAUCCUUGCUCAUGCUUGCAUUUGCUUCAUUCCAUGCUGUGUUUUACUAGAUGACUAAACAUACUGAGAAUGUUGUGGUAAACACACCAACUAUCUUCGAUAUUUGUGGGUAAGUGAAUUUGAAAGCAUAUUUUAGUAGCCUCCUAAUUCCUGUUCCAAACAGCCUCUGCCUAUAUAUUUGAUGCUGUUUUCUCUCAGUUCUUAGGCUGAUUUUGUAAUCAAAUCAGCAUGAAACCAAAUAGAACAUAAUUAUAUGAGUGCACUAAUAAAUAAACCUAUUAACCCUUUAAAAUAAUAUUGCAGUAAAAAUAUAUACAUUCACAGCUUAAAUUUAGUGAAUGUUGAGUUUGAAUAAUAAGUGAGCAGAAAAAUGACCACAUACAUAGGAAAGGACAGAGGAGAGGCAAUCAAGGGAGAAACAAAAAUUGCUUAGGAAGCAACGAGAAGUCUGGAA